rnacentral:rRNA from 1 species
UUGACCUCGGAUCAGGCAGGGAUACCCGCUGAACUUAAGCAUAUCAAUAAGCGGAGGAAAAGAAACCAACAGGGAUUGCCUCAGUAACGGCGAGUGAAGCGGCAACAGCUCAAAUUUGAAAUCUGGCUCUUUUAGGGUCCGAGUUGUAAUUUGUAGAGGAUGCUUCGGCGUCGGCUCCGGUCUAAGUUCCUUGGAACAGGACGUCAUAGAGGGUGAGAAUCCCGUAUGUGAUCGGUUGCCCUUGCCAUGUGAAGCUCCUUCGACGAGUCGAGUUGUUUGGGAAUGCAGCUCUAAAUGGGAGGUAAAUUCUUCUAAAGCUAAAUACUGGCCAGAGACCGAUAGCGCACAAGUAGAGUG